rnacentral:rRNA from 1 species
AACGCGAAGAACCUUACCGGGGCUUGACAUCUGCGGAAAUCCUAUGAAAGUAGGCUUCGGGGCAACCCGACCGCAAGACAGGUGCUGCAUGGCUGUCGUCAGCUCGUGCCGUGAGGUGUUGGGUUAAGUCCCGCAACGAGCGCAACCCUUGUCGUGUGUUGGUCCACAAGAUCUCUCACACGAGACCGCCGAUGAGAAGUCGGAGGAAGGUGGGGAUGACGUCAAGUCCGCAUGGCCCUUACGUCCCGGGCUACACACGUGCUACAAUGCGCGCGACAACGAGCUGCGAACUCGCAAGAGUAAGCCAAUCUCUUAAACGCGCGCUCAGUUCGGAUUGAAGGCUGCAACUCGCCUUCAUGAAGUCGGAAUCGCUAGUAAACGCAGAUCAGCUACGCUGCGUUGAAUACGUUCCCGGGCCUUGUACACACCGGACACGC